rnacentral:rRNA from 1 species
CAAACGACUCUCGGCAACGGAUAUCUAGGCUCUCGCAUCGAUGAAGAACGCAGCGAAAUGCGAUACUUGGUGUGAAUUGCAGAAUCCCGUGAACCAUCGAGUCUUUGAACGCAAGUUGCGCCCGAAGCCGUCAGGCCGAGGGCACGUCUGCCUGGGCGUCAAGC